CCUACGGUGGGCAGCAGUGGGGAAUAUUGGGCAAUGGGCGCAAGCCUGACCCAGCAACGCCGCGUGAAGGAAGAAGGCUUUCGGGUUGUAAACUUCUUUUGUCAGGGAAGAGUAGAAGACGGUACCUGACGAAUAAGCCACGGCUAACUACGUGCCAGCAGCCGCGGUAAUACGUAGGUGGCAAGCGUUGUCCGGAUUUACUGGGUGUAAAGGGCGUGUAGCCGGGUUGACAAGUCAGAUGUGAAAUCCUGCGGCUUAACCGCAGAACUGCAUUUGAAACUGUUGAACUGGAGUACAGGAGAGGUAAGCGGAAUUCCUAGUGUAGCGGUGAAAUGCGUAGAUAUUAGGAGGAACACCAGUGGCGAAGGCGGCUUACUGGACUGUAACUGACGUUGAGGCUCGAAAGCGUGGGGAGCAAACAGGAUUAGAUACCCUUGUAGUC
rnacentral:rRNA from 1 species